rnacentral:miRNA from 1 species
UGAGUAUUUUUUCGUAUACCGA